rnacentral:rRNA from 1 species
AUGCAGUCGAACGGUGAUAGCAAUAUCAUAGUGGCGCACGGGUGCGUAACACGUAUGCAACCUACCUAUUAUUGGGGGAUAGCCUUUGGAAACGGAGAUUAAUACCGCAUAAUACGAUUGACUGGCAUCGGUUGACUGUUAAAGCUUUGGCGAUAAUAGAUGGGCAUGCGUCCAAUUAGUUAGUUGGUUAGGUAACGGCUGACCAAGACGAUGAUUGGUAGGGGAUCUGAGAGGAUAAUCCCCCACACUGGCACUGAGAUACGGGCCAGACUCCUACGGGAGGCAGCAGUAGGGAAUAUUGGGCAAUGGGCGGAAGCCUGACCCAGCCAUGCCGCGUGCAGGAAGAAGGCGUUAUGCGUUGUAAACUGCUUUUUUAUAGGAAGAAGGAUCCCUUGCGAGGGAAGGUGACGGUACUAUAAGAAUAAGCACCGGCUAACUCCGUGCCUGCAGCCGCGGUAAUACGGAGGGUGCAAGCGUUGUCCGGAUUUAUUGGGUUUAAAGGGUGCGUAGGCGGUUUAUUAAGUCAGUGGUGAAAGACGGUCGCUCAACGAUUGCAGUGCCAUUGAUACUGGUAGACUUGAGUGAGAUUGAGGUAGCUGGAAUGGAUAGUGUAGCGGUGAAAUGCAUAG